rnacentral:rRNA from 1 species
UACAGAGGUCCCCAAGCGUUGUUCGGAUUCACUGGGCGUAAAGGGUGCGUAGGUGGUUAGGUAAGUCCGGUGUGAAAGCCCCGGGCUCAACCUGGGAAUGGCCGUUGAAACUGGCGAACUGGAGUGUGGCAGAGGGGGGGUGGAAUUCCGCGUGUAGCAGUGAAAUGCGUAGAGAUGCGGAGGAACACCGAUGGCGAAGGCAGCCCCCCUGGGCUGACACUGACGCUCAGGCACGAAAGCGUGGGGGAGCAAACAGG